GGGCCUGUAGCUCAGUUGGUUAGAGCAGAGGACUCAUAAUCCUUUGGUCCACGGUUCAAGUCCGUGCAGGCCCA
rnacentral:tRNA from 2 species